CACGUGGAUAAUCUGCCCUUUAGUGGGAAUACCGUUGGGAACCGACGACAAUACCGCAUAAUCCCGAGAGGGGAAAAAAGCAGCAAUGCGCUGAAGGAGGAGUCCGCGGUCGAUUAGCUAGUUGGUGGGGUAAAGCCCCAACAAAGGCUGUGAUCGAUAGCCGGCCUGAGAGGGCACACGGCCACACUGGCACUGAAACACGGGCCAGACUCCUACGGGAGGCAGCAGUGGGGAAUCUUGCACAAUGGGGGAAACCCUGAUGCAGCGACGCCGCGUGAGCGAUGAAGCCCUUCGGGGUGU
rnacentral:rRNA from 1 species